GUGUCAGCAGCCGCGGUAAUACGUAGGGGGCUAGCGUUGUCCGGAUUUAUUGGGCGUAAAGCGCGUGUAGGCGGCCAGGUAGGUCCGUUGUGAAAACCCGAGGCUUAACCUCGGGACGCCGACGGAAACCAUCUGGCUAGGGUCCGGAAGAGGAGAGUGGAAUUCCCGGUGUAGCGGUGAAAUGCGCAGAUAUCGGGAAGAACACCCGUGGCGAAGGCGGCUCUCUGGGACGGUACCGACGCUGAGACGCGAAAGCGUGGGGAGCGAACAGGAUUAGAUACCCUUGUAGUCC
rnacentral:rRNA from 1 species